rnacentral:rRNA from 1 species
CGCUGGCGGCAGGCCUAACACAUGCAAGUCGAGCGGUAACAUUUCUAGCUUGCUAGAAGAUGACGAGCGGCGGACGGGUGAGUAAUGCUUGGGAACAUGCCUUUAGGUGGGGGACAACAGUUGGAAACGACUGCUAAUACCGCAUAAUGUCUACGGACCAAAGUGGGGGACCUUCGGGCCUCACGCCUAAAGAUUGGCCCAAGUGGGAUUAGCUAGUUGGUGAGGUAAUGGCUCACCAAGGCGACGAUCCCUAGCUGGUUUGAGAGGAUGAUCAGCCACACUGGGACUGAGACACGGCCCAGACUCCUACGGGAGGCAGCAGUGGGGAAUAUUGCACAAUGGGCGCAAGCCUGAUGCAGCCAUGCCGCGUGUGUGAAGAAGGCCUUCGGGUUGUAAAGCACUUUCAGUAAGGAGGA